rnacentral:rRNA from 1 species
CAGCACCUCAAGUGGUCAGGAUGAUUAUUGGGCCUAAAGCAUCCGUAGCCGGCGCUGGAAGUUUUCGGUUAAAUCUGUACGCUCAACGUACAGGCUGCCGGGAAUACUGCAGCGCUAGGGAGUGGGAGAGGUAGACGGUACUCGGUAGGAAGGGGUAAAAUCCUUUGAUCUAUUGGUGACCACCUGUGGCGAAGGCGGUCUACCAGAACACGUCCGACGGUGAGGGAUGAAAGCUGGGGGAGCAAACCGGAUUAGAUACCCGAGUAGUCC